rnacentral:rRNA from 1 species
GCGCGAAACCUCCGCAAUGCGAGCAAUCGCGACGGGGGGACCCCAAGUGCCACUCUUAACGGGGUGGCUUUUCUUAAGUGUAAAAAGCUUUUGGAAUAAGGGCUGGGCAAGACCGGUGCCAGCCGCCGCGGUAACACCGGCAGCCCAAGUGGUGGCCAUUUUUAUUGGGCCUAAAGCGUUCGUAGCCGGCCUGAUAAGUCUCUGGUGAAAUCCCGCAGCUUAACUGUGGGAAUUGCUGGAGAUACUAUCAGGCUUGAGGUCGGGAGAGGUUAGAGGUACUCCCAGGGUAGGGGUUAAAUCCUAUAAUCCUGGAGGACCACCUGUGGCGAAGGCGUCUAACUGGAACGAACCUGACGGUGAGUAACGAAAGCCAGGGCGCGAACCGGAUUAGAGACCCUAGUA